AUUGUACUCUCUCCGUCCCAUAUUAAGUGCAGAAAUAUUACAUGUAUCUAGACGUACUUUAGUAUAUAGAUACGUCCAUUUUUAGACAAAUUUGAGUCACUUAAUUUGGGAUGGAGGGAGUACUGU
rnacentral:pre_miRNA from 1 species